rnacentral:rRNA from 1 species
UACGUAGGGGCCCAGCAUUGUCCGGAUUCAUUGGGCGUAAAGCGCACGUAGGCGGUUCGUUAUGUCGGAUGUGAAAGCCCUUGGCUUAACCGAGGAAGUGCAUCCGAAACUGGCGAGCUAGAGUACGAAAGAGGAUCGCGGAAUUCCCGGUGUAGAGGUGAAAUUCGUAGAUAUCGGGAGGAACACCGGUGGCGAAGGCGGCGAUCUGGGUCGAUACUGACGCUGAGGUGCGAAAGCGUGGGGAGCAAACAGG